AUUGAACGCUGGCGGCAGGCCUAACACAUGCAAGUCGAACGAGUGGCGGACGGGUGAGUAAUGUCUGGGAAACUGCCUGAUGGAGGGGGAUAACUACUGGAAACGGUAGCUAAUACCGCAUACCCUCGGAUGUGCCCAGAUGGGAUUAGCUAGUUGGUGGGGUAAAGGCUCACCUAGGCGACGAUCCCUAGCUGGGCUGAGAGGAUGACAAGCCACACUGGACCUGAGACACGGACCAUAGUCCAACGGGAGGCAGCAGUGGGGAAUAUUGGACAAGGGGCGCAAGCCUGAUACAGCCAUGCCGCGUGUAUGAAGAAGGCCUUCGGGUUGUAAAGUACUUUCAGCGGGGAGGCGUUACCCGCAGAAGAAGCACCGGCUAACUCCGUGCCAGCAGCCGCGGUAAUAC
rnacentral:rRNA from 1 species